AGCAGCGUGGCUCAAUGGAAAGAGCCUGACCUCUGGAGUCAGAGGUCGUGGGUUCGAAUCCCGACUCUGCCA
rnacentral:tRNA from 1 species